CUGCAACCAUGGAUAAAAUCCAUCUGCAAUCACUUGUGGUACGCCUGUUCCACUUGUGGAGGUGACCCUGAUGGAAGCUUGAAGUAUUCCAUGCAUCUAUGCUGAAAUACACAGAGAAGAGACUGCACUUCCACUACUCAACAAUGAAAGCUCGCACCCAGCUUGCCGUUAUGGACCACAAUGAAAAUGUUCAGCGUGAACAGGCCUACACCAACACAGGACAAGCACGGUUCAAUGUGGUUUACCCAAGACAAACAAAAGAAUGGGUUGCCAAAAAGAU